rnacentral:ncRNA from 1 species
GAGAUAGAGGUUGCGUGUUUUAUCAGUAUUUUUUCGGAUGCGGCAGGCGCAGUUGAAGGGAAAUGAAAGGGAAACGCGCCGAAGGGUUCCGGUGCCAUGCGGCCGGGAUGCCUGGGCACACAGUCAAGAACUGCGUGACUGUCAUCGGAUGAUGGGGCGCUAU